CGUAGGGAGCAAGCGUUGUUCGGAUUUACUGGGCGUAAAGGGCGCGUAGGCGGCGCGGUAAGUCACUUGUGAAAUCUCUGAGCUUAACUCAGAACGGCCAAGUGAUACUGCAGUGCUAGAGUGCAGAAGGGGCAAUCGGAAUUCUUGGUGUAGCGGUGAAAUGCGUAGAUAUCAAGAGGAACACCUGAGGUGAAGACGGGUUGCUGGGCUGACACUGACGCUGAGGCGCGAAAGCCAGGGGAGCAAACGGGAUUAGAUACCCCGGUAGUCCUGGCCCUAAACGAUGAAUACUUGGUGUCUGGAGUUUCAAUACUCCGGGUGCCGUCGCUAACGUUUUUAGUAUUCCGCCUGGGGAGUACGCACGCAAGUGUG
rnacentral:rRNA from 1 species